GGUUAAGUUAAUAAGGGCGCACGGUGGAUGCCUUGGCACUAGAAGCCGAUGAAGGACGUGACUAACGACGAAAUGCUUUGGGGAGCUGUAAGUGAGCAAUGAUCCAGAGAAGUCCGAAUGGGGGAACCCGGCAGGUAAUGCCUGUCACUCAUUACUGUUAAGGUAAUGUAGAGGAAGACGCAGUGAACUGAAACAUCUAAGUAGCUGUAGGAAGAGAAAGCAAAAGCGAUUGCCUUAGUAGCGGCGAGCGAAACGGCAAGAGGGCAAACCGAAGAGUUUACUCUUCGGGGUUGUAGGACUGCAACGUGGACUUAAAGAUUAUAGAAGAACUACCUGGGAAGGUAGGCCAAAGAGAGUAAUAGCCUCGUAUUCGAAAUAGUCUUUAUACCUAGCAGUAUCCUGAGUACGGCGAGACACGAGAAAUCUCGUCGGAAUCUGGGAGGACCAUCUCCCAACCCUAAAUACUCUCUAGUGACCGAUAGUGAACCAGUACCGUGAGGGAAAGGUGAAAAGCACCCCGGGAGGGGAGUGAAAUAGAACCUGAAACCGUGUGCCUACAACAAGUUCGAGCCCGUUAAUGGGUGAGAGCGUGCCUUUUGUAGAAUGAACCGGCGAGUUACGAUAUGAUGCGAGGUUAAGUUGAAGAGACGGAGCCGUAGGGAAACCGAGUCUUAAUAGGGCGCAUUAGUAUCAUGUCGUAGACCCGAAACCAUGUGACCUACCCAUGAGCAGGUUGAAGGUGAGGUAAAACUCACUGGAGGACCGAACCAGGGCACGUUGAAAAGUGCUUGGAUGACUUGUGGGUAGCGGAGAAAUUCCAAACGAACUUGGAGAUAGCUGGUUCUCUCCGAAAUAGCUUUAGGGCUAGCGUCGAUGUUAAGUCUCUUGGAGGUAGAGCACUGUUUGGGUGAGGGGUCCAUCCCGGAUUACCAAUCUCAGAUAAACUCCGAAUGCCAAUGAGAUAUAAUCGGCAGUCAGACUGCGAGUGCUAAGAUCCGUAGUCGAAAGGGAAACAGCCCAGACCACCAGCUAAGGUCCCAAAAUAUAUGUUAAGUGGAAAAGGAUGUGGGGUUGCACAGACAACUAGGAUGUUAGCUUAGAAGCAGCUAUUCAUUCAAAGAGUGCGUAAUAGCUCACUAGUCGAGUGACCCUGCGCCGAAAAUGUACCGGGGCUAAAACAUAUUACCGAAGCUGUGGAUACCUUUAUAGGUAUGGUAGGAGAGCGUUCUAUGUGCGAAGAAGGUGUACCGUGAGGAGUGCUGGAGCGCAUAGAAGUGAGAAUGCCGGUAUGAGUAGCGAAAGACAGGUGAGAAUCCUGUCCACCGUAAGACUAAGGUUUCCAGGGGAAGGCUCGUCCGCCCUGGGUUAGUCGGGACCUAAGGAGAGACCGAAAGGUGUAUCCGAUGGACAACAGGUUGAUAUUCCUGUACUAGAGUAUAUAGUGAUGGAGGGACGCAGUAGGCUAACUAAACCAGACGAUUGGAAGUGUCUGGCCAAGCAGUGAGGUGUGAUAUGAGUCAAAUGCUUAUAUCUUUAACAUUGAGCUGUGAUGGGGAGCGAAGUUUAGUAGCGAAGUUAGUGAUGUCACACUGCCGAGAAAAGCUUCUAGCGUUAAUUAUACUCUACCCGUACCGCAAACCGACACAGGUAGUCGAGGCGAGUAGCCUCAGGUGAGCGAGAGAACUCUCGUUAAGGAACUCGGCAAAAUGGCCCCGUAACUUCGGGAGAAGGGGCGCUGACUGAUGGUCAGCCGCAGUGAAUAGGCCCAAGCAACUGUUUAUCAAAAACACAGCUCUCUGCUAAAUCGUAAGAUGAUGUAUAGGGGGUGACGCCUGCCCGGUGCUGGAAGGUUAAGAGGAGUGCUUAGCGUAAGCGAAGGCAUGAAUUGAAGCCCCAGUAAACGGCGGCCGUAACUAUAACGGUCCUAAGGUAGCGAAAUUCCUUGUCGGGUAAGUUCCGACCCGCACGAAAGGCGUAAUGAUUUGGGCACUGUCUCAACGAGAGACUCGGUGAAAUUUUAGUACCUGUGAAGAUGCAGGUUACCCGCGACAGGACGGAAAGACCCCAUGGAGCUUUACUGCAGUUUGAUAUUGAGUAUCUGUACCACAUGUACAGGAUAGGUAGGAGCCUAUGACCUCGGGACGCCAGUUUCGAGUGAGGCGUUGUUGGGAUACUACCCUUGUGUUAUGGCUACUCUAACCCAGAUAGGUUAUCCCUAUCGGAGACAGUGUCUGACGGGCAGUUUGACUGGGGCGGUCGCCUCCUAAAAGGUAACGGAGGCGCCCAAAGGUUCCCUCAGAAUGGUUGGAAAUCAUUCGCAGAGUGUAGUGUAAAGGUAUAAGGGAGCUUGACUGCGAGAGCUACAACUCGAGCAGGGACGAAAGUCGGGCUUAGUGAUCCGGUGGUUCCGUAUGGAAGGGCCAUCGCUCAACGGAUAAAAGCUACCCUGGGGAUAACAGGCUUAUCUCCCCCAAGAGUUCACAUCGACGGGGAGGUUUGGCACCUCGAUGUCGGCUCGUCGCAUCCUGGGGCUGUAGUCGGUCCCAAGGGUUGGGCUGUUCGCCCAUUAAAGCGGCACGCGAGCUGGGUUCAGAACGUCGUGAGACAGUUCGGUCCCUAUCCGUCGCGGGCGUAGGAAAUUUGAGAGGAUCUGCUCCUAGUACGAGAGGACCAGAGUGGACUUACCGCUGGUGUACCAGUUGUUCUGCCAAGAGCAUCGCUGGGUAGCUAUGUAGGGAAGGGAUAAACGCUGAAAGCAUCUAAGUGUGAAGCCCACCUCAAGAUGAGAUUUCCCAUGAUUUUAUAUCAGUAAGAGCCCUGAGAGAUGAUCAGGUUGAUAGGUUAGAAGUGGAAGUGUGGUGACACAUGUAGCGGACUAAUACUAAUAGCUCGAGGACUUAUCCAA
rfam:Streptococcus thermophilus LMG 18311, complete genome.